AGUGCCAGCCGGGCAGUGGCCUGGAGACCACGGGGCAGAGCCGGAGCGCCAUGCUCCUCUCUGCGUGGCUGUGCUGCGUGUGGACGAGUCCUCAGAAAGAGAAAAACUGCUCUCCUGAGGGUGGCACCCUGGCAUAUGGAAGUUCCUGGGGGGCCAGGGACUGAAUCCAAGCGGGGCGGCAACGUUGGAUCCUUUAACCUGCUGCACCAGGCCUGGAAUGGAACCCACGCUUCACCAGCAACCUGAGCCGCUGCAGUGGGGUUCUCAACCCACUGUGCCCUAGUGGGAACUCCACGCCUCCUCAUUUUAGAAUUAAGAGGUCCACUGUUCUGUUUUUCGAGUGUAUUCCUGAAUGAAAUCUUUGAAAACAGGUCAUAGGGAUCGCUUCGAUUCCUGGAUGAGUUCAAGCAAUCACUUGUCUCCGAUUCUGAUGUUCAGAACAGGUGGUCCAGGUGGGGACAUUCGCCUGAAGCCACACCUGCAGAACCGGAAUGGCGUGCAGACUGGACGCUCCGGGAGGCAGAGGGUUUGGGGCUCCUCCAGGCCUGGUCUCAGUGCUCACACAGUCAGUGCCCAGGCCCGCGAAGAUGCGCCAGGACUGUAUGCCUUAGUAGAGUGAAGGGCUGCUUGUCUGAAGUUUCCACGGAACAGGAGGGCACCCUAAUCUGGAGGUGGGCAUCAAUGCUUUUUUUUUCCUAAGUUAUGUUUCCAAACCGGGUGGCUACUUUGGCGAGACCCCAAACACCCAACGACCAGCCAAAUCAAACCCCCAGACACCCUUCAAGCUUCCCCAUCGACGGCUGGGAGCCACAGCAGAGCGUGUCCCCGCUCUGAGGGGCAGCCUUAAACUUCCGAAGCUGACUGGCCGCGGCCCUGACCCGCUCCUUCCCUCUGAAACGCAGGCCCGCGUCUCCCGCUGGCCUCCCUCCCUUUGGGGGUGGUUUCUUGCCGCCGCCUCCGUGGGGGUUUGUGUGUAGCACGGUGGCAUCAAGAAAAAAGCGAACACUUACGUGGUGCUUGCUGCCCUUUGAGACAGUUCUUCUUUGACGAAGGCCUUGCCCCUGUGUGGCCAGAAUCCCAGCCGGCCUGACUUGGGAUUAACGGUGUCCAUUCGUGGAGGAAGGUGGGGGCAGGUGCGUCAGAGCACGUGCUGCCCGUCAGACGGCUCAGCUGAUGACCCUGUGCCGGAAAAGGACUCGGCUGGCAUGGCCCCUCGCGGGGACAGGUGCUCAGGCACAGAGUGGGUCCCUUCGGCAAAGGAUGACGCCCGGGCAUGAAUAUGUAUGUUUUGAGGAAGGAGUGACAGUGGAGACAGGACAAAGGACCGCAGCCAGGGCCCCCUCCCCAAGGCCUAUAAUGACACCAGGAGCCAGAGCUUCCUUGAGGAAAGCUGGUCCUGCUCACUUUUCGAGGUGAAACUGCACCUGAAGCCACGUUCCUGCGACGGGAACACUGCGGGCUCCUUCUGGCAGCAUCAUCAACACGACGUCUUUAUGCUGACGGCAUCCUCUGUCCAGAGACGUCGGAAAAAAACAGGAUGAGCCCCGUGGGUCUAAAGAGGACGCUCCGCUUCCUUUCUCAAAACCUUCCGCCGUGUCCUCCCACCUUUGGUCUUGAAUUCUAGAAGAUGGAUCUGCUGGCCCCGGACCCAAGAAGACAGUGCGCCACGGGUCUUUUCCACAGCAGCUCCGUCUCACGAAACACAGGUGCUUUUUACCGGAUCUUUCCUGCGGCAUUUAAAAAAAUCUGCCCUGCACUUUGCCACAUUGAGUUUUUCCAUCCCCAAGGCACCGCUGCGAGCUGGUGGGAGGGGAAAGCGUUAAGUUCUCUUAGGCCUGCGGAGAGGAGAGGUCGACAGGUCCUGAAUCACACAGGGACUCAGAAUACCUGCCUGGGCGGUUUCUGAGUCAGUUUGAGGGCUGGCUGUUUAUACAGCAGGAGGUAUUUCUUCAUUUGGGGAGCUUCAUUUGGGGGGGGGCUCACUGAGUGUUUACUCCCUGCUCCCAAGCCAACAAAGUGAAAACAAAAAUAUAUUCAGCAAAGUGUGUAGA
rnacentral:lncRNA from 1 species